UGCCAGAAUCGGGCCAGAACCCUAAG
rnacentral:piRNA from 1 species